rnacentral:rRNA from 1 species
UACGUAGGGGGCUAGCGUUGUCCGGAAUCAUUGGGCGUAAAGCGCGUGUAGGCGGUCCGGUAAGUCCGCUGUGAAAGUCGAGGGCUCAACCCUCGAAUGCCGGUGGAUACUGUCGGGCUUGAGUACGGGAGAGGCGAGUGGAAUUCCUGGUGUAGCGGUGAAAUGCGCAGAUAUCAGGAGGAACACCGGUGGCGAAGGCGGUUCUCUGGGAAUAUCCUGACGCUGAGGAGCGAAAGUGUGGGGAGCGAACAGG